rnacentral:rRNA from 1 species
UACGUAGGGCGCAAGCGUUGUCCGGAAUUAUUGGGCGUAAAGAGCUCGUAGGCGGUUUGUCGCGUCUGCUGUGAAAACCUAAGGCUCAACCUUGGGCUUGCAGUGGGUACGGGCAGACUAGAGUGCGGUAGGGGAGAUCGGAAUUCCUGGUGUAGCGGUGAAAUGCGCAGAUAUCAGGAGGAACACCGGUGGCGAAGGCGGAUCUCUGGGCCGUAACUGACGCUGAGGAGCGAAAGCAUGGGGAGCGAACAGGA